GAUGAAGAACGUAGCGAAAUGCGAUAAGUAAUGUGAAUUGCAGAAUUCAGUGAAUCAUCGAAUCUUUGAACGCAUCUUGCGCUCCUUGGUAUUCUGAGGAGCAUGCCUGUUUGAGUGUCAUUAAAUUCUCAACUACACUGACUUUGAAUUGGUGUGGCUUGGAUUUGUGGGGAAAAUUGUUGUGGGCUUUUUGUAUAGUCUGCUCCCCUGAAAUUGAUUAGCGGUACCUUUGUGGAACUGUCUACAGGUGUGAUAAUUAUCUACAUCUUAGACAUCUGCUGGAAUGCUGCUUUCUAAACCUUACUUGUAUUGACAAUCUUGACCUCAAAUCAGGUAGGACUACCCGCUGAACUUAAGCAUAUCAAUAAGCGGAGGA
rnacentral:misc_RNA from 1 species